UACGUAGGGUGCGAGCGUUACUCGGAAUUACUGGGCGUAAAGUGUGCGCAGGCGGCCGCGCAAGUCGAGUGUGAAAGCCCCGGGCUUAACUUGGGAAUUGCGCUCGAAACUACGUGGCUGGAGUGUGGCAGAGGAAGGUGGAAUUCCACGUGUAGCGGUGAAAUGCGUAGAGAUGUGGAGGAACACCAAUGGCGAAGGCAGCCUUCUGGGCCAACACUGACGCUCAUGCACGAAAGCGUGGGGAGCAAACAGG
rnacentral:rRNA from 1 species